rnacentral:rRNA from 1 species
UACGGAGGGUGCAAGCGUUAUCCGGAUUUACUGGGUUUAAAGGGUGCGUAGGUGGGUAAGUAAGUCAGUGGUGAAAUCUUCGAGCUUAACUCGGAAACUGCCAUUGAUACUAUUUAUCUUGAAUACUUUGGAGGUAAGCGGAAUAUGUCAUGUAGCGGUGAAAUGCUUAGAUAUGACAUAGAACACCAAUUGCGAAGGCAGCUCACUACGCGAAUAUUGACACUGAGGCACGAAAGCGUGGGGAUCAAACAGG